rnacentral:sRNA from 1 species
ACACAACACAAUAACCUUUGACCCAAAUGUUUUUCCUCAGGCAUUGGCAUCUACAUAUUGCUUCAUGAAUCUACUGGAGGAAUUAUGUUAAAAGGCAUGACUAAAUCAAGAGAUGAGGGCAAAGGAUACAGUCUGUGACCUGCGACCACAGUACUGAGGGGUUACAAUAAAGAGAUUGCCCUGAAUCUCAGAAGAGGCUUUAAAAAUUUAAGCAGUUUUCAGAUUGUGAAAGACUACAGAAUAUACCACAAGGACCAUUUGACUGUCCCCUCUGGCUUCUGCAUCUUGCUUCCAGCAUGAACAGACAGCUGCUGAAGUGCCCACCAGAACAUUCAGGGGAGCCCUUCUCCCUCCCACCCCUGACACCUGCCAGGAAAAUGCUGCAUUAUUCAUCAGGAGCUAAUGGCAGGUGCCUACGAGUAACGGCAUGUGUGCGGAAGCCAGAGAAUGGCUCGCCAGCAUUGGAUCUCUUCUUCUAUCACGUGGGUCCGGGGACCAAAGUCAGGUUGUCAUGCUUGACAGUGUACAACUUUCCUUUCUAAGAAUUGGUCAUCAGAAGGACAUCGCCUAUCCAGAUCUUUCACAGGCAAGUAUUGAACUGUCUCUGUCUCUUAGUUAUGGUUUAUAUUUAGGGUCUUAUAGUAUUUAUUUUCAAUCACAGAAACACCAGAGAUAGCCACAGAUGCAGAUAAAAUAAAGUAGGUCUUCCCACAGGGUAAACGAAUGGUUUGUUUUGUAUAUAAGCAGCAGGACCACCAUGAAUUGUGUACCCUGAAUCUUUGAAACCCAAGUGUGAGACAAACUGAGAAGACGAAUAUAUGGAAAUGGUAGCAUUUAGUUGAGAGUCCUGUAUUGUUAUCCAAUAUGAUGUUAAUGGUCUCUAGUUGACCAGGUCUAGACUCCUUGUUCAAGUACAGGUUCCCCUAGAGUCUAGAGAGAGUAGUUUUGAAGGUAGUAAAAAUAACAUGAAUGAGACCAAAUAGAAGGAAGAAUGAAUGGUA